ensembl:lncRNA
UGGGAAGUGAGAAGGAUGGAUGUGUACAGGGGGGUAAACCAGGGGUUGACACCAAGGUUUCAAAAGCACUUGCCCAUCAGGCAAGUACAGGUCAGGUUCAACUUGCCUGAAGGUAAUGUUCACCUGCCCAAAUUAUAUUCAGAAUCAUGAACGGGCCUCUUUUUGCCAGGCACCCGGCCUGGUUUUGGGGGGGCUCAGAAAAAUCAUCCUAGCUCACACUGAAGCUGAAUGUUAGCUUCCACACAUGUUGUGUUUAAAAAAUAACACACUUCUCUUUGUUUACUUAUUUAUCGAGCGGUCACAUCGUGCCAUGAAGUGAUUUCAGUCCACCGUUGCAACCUAUUAAAGCUAUCGCCAAGUUAUAUGUAGACCUGCAUGAUUUUAUGCAAAUGUACAUAACUAAAUGUAUGUAUUUUUUAACUUUCAAGUUUCUUGUAGCCCUAACUGAAAAUCACAAUCGCGUUUCUAGUAGUGUUGUCAGUCACGAUACUGGAUUUUUUAACUUGGACACUGUACCUGGAAAAAUAUCGAUAUUCUAUUCCAUUUUCGAUAUCAGGGGAAAGGUUUUUUCAGGAAAGAACAUACCCAAAGUAAAUGGAGUAUAUCUCCACAAAUGCAAGGGUGAUAAUGCCAUCUUUGUGCCAAAAGAAGGAUUGUUGUGCAAGUGAAAUAUUAAAUGGGGAUAAUACUUGGUUAACGUGAAUAAAGCCAUGGAACACAGCAUAAGUGGAAGAUAACAUUUCCACCUGAAAUAAUUAUCAGUUGGUCGUUAUCAGUUGGGAGGGCUGUCUUACUAUGAGACACAAAUAAAGGUAGAUAUCCUACAAUUUUGACACUUGACACCUCUAUUUAAAGUUCAGAGCAAAUAUAAUCGAAUGCACAAAGCCAAACACUCACAAAUAAAUAUAUGGCCACUAGAUUGCGCUGAAGAAUAUGAUUUCUGAUUGAAGGCAAUUUACCUAUUUGCUAAGAAACCUUGUCUUAUUCAUUGAUUGAAAACACCAUGUUUAGUUGCAAAAUUUGGCCCAGACACUGGAUAAUCGGUUUAUGGUGGUUUUAUUCGAUCAGACUCAACUUUGUUGACAAAAAUCACAAAGGUAAUACCUAAUUUUUGGUUGUUAAAAGAAAAGGGGACGUUUCUUCUUAAGUUGUUGUUUGCGAGUUUUAGUCACAGAAUGAUAUGGUUUGGACUGUUGGAAUAAGUGGAAUAAGAAAGCUUUCAUGUAAUAUAUACCGUAUUUUCCGCGCUAUAAGGCGCACUGGAUAUUCCCAAUACGCUCACGAUCUGCAGCAAGCCAGUCACAGUUGAUUGGCGCGGCGCUGUACAGCGAACGUAAACAAACAACUAAGCUAAUGUUAGCAUUUCGCAAAGUAUUACUUUUCCUCCCGAGAUCCCGCUAAUGUUCUGUUAUAAAGUAAAGGGAAACAAGAUAUCUAUUCUUCCUCCACCUCUCUCGCUUCUCUGCUUGGUGUCGCUGACGCUUAUAGUUUGCCUCCCACGCUCUGGUAACAUCACGUUCGUGGGAAAAAAAACAACGAAGCUCCGAAUACUGAUUUAAGCUUCGAAUACUAAUUUUCCGAGUGGCUGUUAGCUGUAAAAAAUCCAGAUUAGCCGCACGUUAUAUAAGCCGCAGUAUCGAAAAAUGGGAAAAAAGGCGCAGCUUAUAGUCCGAAAAUUACAGUCGUUUGUGAGGGUCCAAUUUCGUGAAAAAGAUCGCUAUUGCUGUGCAUGUGCAGUUAUGAAACCCAAAACCGUGUUCUUGCAUAUGACUUUCCUUGAUAAUUUGCCUCAAUCCAAAGUACUUCCAAAGUACUUGCACUCCUCUGCAAUUACUACUCCAUUUUCCUUCUACCUAAACCGUUCGCGGAGGCGCUGCACUUGAGAUGCUAGCUGUAUUGGCUAACCUUUAGCUAACACCUACGAAUCACUGCCAGAGACCGCACUGCGAGUGAGUGACAGAGGCGGGGCUAUAUUCGCACUGAAGCGAUGCGUGUCUGUUAACUCGCUUUCCGAGAGAAGAGAAGACACAUCAAUUGCAAAUACUUAUAUUUUGUGUGAUUUUGCUGAACAAAAGGUUGUUCUGCAGUUUCGAAAAACAUUUGAAUAAAUAGCGUUUAUAUUAACAUCCACCCAAAAUCCACUUGCCCGUUCGGGCAACCAGAAGAAAUCUAAACUUGGCCAAACAUUUUUUUUUAGGCUGUGCGCAAUGUCCAAAACGUCUCUGCAGAGCCCUAACAACAGCCUCAUAAUUAUUUUUUUUCUUCUGGGCUGAGCAGUAACAGGCAUGUUGCGUCGUCCGUGCGUCGUCCGUAAGGCAUAACGCUAGCUGUAGCGCUUUAUCAUCCUCCGACCAGACUGCAGCUUGUGACAACAGUUCGAAUUGGGCAUGAAACACCUGCCAGUCUGCCUAGGCACCGCCCCUUUGCCACACAGGCUGUGCAUUCUCUCCGCUGGUAGGCCUUGUGCCCACUACCUCCGUCCGUUGACUGAUCCCCAUUGACUUUGAAUGGGGACGGACGCGCAAUGCAUUGUGGAUCCGUCCGUUGACUUGUGCAGUGGGCAUGUA